GCAUCUGUGCAUGCAGCAUAUCAAUAAGCGGAGGAAAAGAAACCAACAGGGAUUGCCUUAGUAACGGCGAGUGAAGCGGCAAGAAGCUCAAAUUUGAAAUCUGGCGCCUUCGGUGUCCGAGUUGUAAUUUGAAGAAGGUAAGCUUUGGAGUUGGCUCUUGUCUAAUGUUCCUUGGAACAGGACGUCACGAGAGGGUGAGAAUCCCGUGGCGAUGAGGAUGUCCGCAAUUCUAUGUAGAAGUGCUUUCGAAGAGUCGAGUUGUUUGGGAAUGCAGCUCUAAGUGGGUGGUAAAUUCCAUCUAAAGCUAAAUAUUGGCGAGAGACCGAUAGCGAACAAGUACAGUGAUGGAAAGAUGAAAAGAACUUUGAAAAGAGAGUUAAACAGUACGUGAAAUUGUCAAAAGGGAAGCGUUUGACACCAGUGUUGUUUUCUCGAAAAUCAAUUAAAAAUGGCUCGAUUUUGUAUUGCUGAGACCUUAAAAGCUCACCGUACAUUUUUCGUGUCUUUUUUAAUGCACUUUUCGUUUAACAAGUCAACAUCAGUUUCUUUUGUUGUAAAAGGGUCAUUGGAAGGUGGCUUUCUUUUCGGAGAAAGUGUUUAUAGCCUUUAGGCCUCUGCAAUCGAAGAGACUGAGGUCUGCAGCGUAGACUCUUCGGGGUUAGAUACAUUUGUGCUAAGUUAUAGCUUUUUAUAGACAACUUGUUGACUAUAAUUAGUCUUGUAGCUUACUCGCUUAUGCUAUUUUACCUACGCUUAGGAUGUUGACGCAUGAGAUAUACGC
rnacentral:rRNA from 1 species